UACGGAGGGUGCGAGCGUUGUCCGGAAUCAUUGGGCGUAAAGGGCGCGUAGGUGGCCCGGUCAGUUCGUGGUGAAAGCGCGGGGCUCAACCCUCGCGUCGGCCAUGAAUACUGCCGCGGCUGGAGCACUGUAGAGGCAGGCGGAAUUCCGGGUGUAGCGGUGGAAUGCGUAGAUAUCAGGAGGAACACCGGUGGCGAAGGCGGGAUCCUGGGCCAGUACUGACGCUGAGGAGCGAAAGCGUGGGGAGCGAGUCCGG
rnacentral:rRNA from 1 species